rnacentral:lncRNA from 1 species
CCUUCUGUGCUGCUCCGCUGAUGACACAGUGCCAGACUGCAAAAAUGCCGCAAAAAUGCAGUGUAAUCAAUAGAGCACUGGUGGAGCACAAGGAAUACUGAUGAACACAUGUCCAGUGAGACGGGCAAGAUAUUGAAGGAACUUGAGCUGCGAGGCUGGUGCAGACAGAGCCAGCUGGCUCUUAGUCCUCCCUUUAAAAGUCAGCUUUCAAUGGCCAUUAGAACAAAUUGA